UGAAAAGAGAGGUGCAUAAGAGAGAAAU
rnacentral:piRNA from 1 species